rnacentral:lncRNA from 1 species
GACUCUCGUUAGGAAGAGCGUCGCCCUCCACGCCUUCUGAGCAGUUCCAGUUCCGUAGCGCCCUCGUGUGUCUGGAGGAAGAAACGUCCUGGGUUUGAGUUUGACAGGGCUACUGGAGCACAGGGAGAAGUCUGGUCAGGCAUUGGAAUGAAUAUGAGAACUCAAGAUGAGUUCUUGAUGCCUUCUCAGAGGAGACUCAGUGGCGGCGCGUGAAAGGAUCCAGAAGAAACCACAAGCAGUCGAAAUCCAAGGCACCUGUUUUCUCUAAAAGAAGUUGAAGUCACUUCCAUGUCUGCACGCCCACCAGCUAUGGUUGUGUAUACCAUGUGAAUUAACUAUUGGAGAAUUAUCAUCUAAUUUUUGACUUUGGAAACUAUUGAUAUGGUCUAAGGGUCUUGAAAUGAUACAGUUUAGAGGUCUUGGUCGGGUUUGUUGUCUCUGCCAGCUGAAGAAUUAAAAGGCAGGGAAAAAAUCUGAAUACCCACAUGGAGCAGCAGAGAAAUCUUAAGCAUCAUGGACAGAAUUAAGAGUAGGAAGAAGGUGAGGUGUGACAAGCAGCUGGAACAUCCUUCAUCCCUCAG